rnacentral:lncRNA from 1 species
UAUAUUUGCUUUUAUUAAAGGAAAAAAAAUUUUUUUUUUUUUUCAAGAGAUAGGUAGCACGCUACCCACUUCGUUUAUUUUCUUUAGAAAUAAACUUAGCUGAAAAUGUGAAUUAAUUAGGAUUCAAAUUUGGGUCUCGGGUACCAACCACCAAGCCCUUUGCCACUUGCUCUAGGGCCGGUCGGUGGGAAAAGAAAAAAAAAAAAAAAAAAUUGUUGGUUU